CGACGACGGGUAGCCGGCCUGAGAGGGUGACCGGCCACACUGGGACUGAGACACGGCCCAGACUCCUACGGGAGGCAGCAGUGGGGAAUAUUGCACAAUGGGCGCAAGCCUGAUGCAGCGACGCCGCGUGAGGGAUGACGGCCUUCGGGUUGUAAACCUCUUUCAGCAGGGAAGAAGCCACAAGUGACGGUACCUGCARAARAAGCGCCGGCUAACUACGUGCCAGCAGCCGCGGUAAUACGUAGGGCGCAAGCGUUGUCCGGAAUUAUUGGGCGUAAAGAGCUCGUAGGCGGUUUGUCSCGUCUGCUGUGAAAGCCCGGGGCUCAACCCCGGGUCUGCAGUGGGUACGGGCAGACUAGAGUGCAGUAGGGGAGACUGGAAUUCCUGGUGUAGCGGUGAAAUGCGCARAUAUCAGGAGGAACACCGAUGGCGAAGGCAGGUCUCUGGGCUGUUACUGACGCUGAGGAGCGAAAGCWUGGGGAGCGAACAGGAUUAGAUACCCUGGUAGUCCAUGCCGUAAACGUUGGGCAYUAGGUGUGGGGGACAUUCCACGUUCUCCGCGCCGUAGCUAACGCAUUAAGUGCCCCGCCUGGGGAGUACGGA
rnacentral:rRNA from 1 species